rnacentral:rRNA from 1 species
GUCCACGCCGUAAACGAUGAGCACUAGGUGUCGGGGUCGCAAGACUUCGGUGCCGCAGUUAACGCAUUAAGUGCUCCGCCUGGGGAGUACGUUCGCAAGAAUGAAACUCAAAGGAAUUGACGGGGACCCGCACAAGCAGCGGAGCAUGUGGUUUUAAUUCGAAGCAACGCGAAGAACCUUACCAGGGCUUGACAUCCCUCUGACAGAUCCUUAAACGGAUUUUUCUUCGGACAGAGGAGACAGGUGGUGCAUGGUUGUCGU